rnacentral:misc_RNA from 1 species
UACGGAGGGGGCUAGCGUUGCUCGGAAUUACUGGGCGUAAAGCGCACGUAGGCGGCGUACAAAGUCAGGCGUGAAAGGCCUGGGCUCAACCCAGGAACUGCGCUUGAGACUGGUACGCUAGAGUCCGGGAGAGGGUAGUGGAAUUCCCAGUGUAGAGGUGAAAUUCGUAGAUAUUGGGAAGAACACCAGUGGCGAAGGCGGCUACCUGGUCCGGUACUGACGCUGAGGUGCGAAAGCGUGGGGAGCAAACAGG